UCAAGCAAAGUUGGUUGACUCGCUUGUCACGCGAAAAGCUCGCUAACGCCAUCGUCAGCAGCAACGGACUUUAAAGAUGGCGGACGGAGGGGGCGAGAAACAAUUAACCUACACCCAAGACAAUGUGUCCGUGCGCAUGCUCAGUUCACGCGGCGAGGAGACGAUAUCCGGGAAGCUGGAAAUCACAAAGGAGAAGCACGGACAUGUCGUGACGUGGUUGGCAUACCCACCGCCAUCGGCGGCCAAGGAGCAACCGCAGCGGUACGACGAGGACUCCGCCGGUGUCUGGGAGGACCUGACUGCCGACAGCGCUGUCUCGUACCAUGUGGGGGGCAAGGACAGGUGCCGAUCACCCGACUCUGUGAAGAUCAAGAAGGAGAACGGGACCUCAGCGGGUGACUCGCCCUCGCCUGGGCCACACUCCACCGUAUCGUUUGAGGUGACCGACCUCACCUCGUACCGGUGUCGCCAGGUUGCCGACACGCACGAGCUCACGCUGAACCUGAGCGACGGCACGCGCCUCCCCACCUUCAUUUUCAUCGAGCGUCGUUACGAGCACUUCAUUCGUGCCCUGCACGAACACAUCUCCUUCAAAAGGUCGCGGAAGGACCCACUCCUCUAUGUGGUCCAGAUGCCAACAGUCGAGGCACUGCACAAGUCGUUUGACCAGCUGAACUUGUAUCCGGAGUCGUCUUCGCGGUACGACGUGAUCCGGAAGUUUCUGGUGAAUCCAACCUGGGACGCAACGUGGGACGGCUUCGCCAAGGUGGCGAACUAUGUCACUGGUGCUGCCGCGGGUUUGCCCGGCGAGGAGUACAGACUCGGUUAUGAGUACUUCGGCGAGCAGCAGCCUGACAGUCUGACGGGUCUUGAGAUCAGUGACCACAGUGAGGAGCCUGGCUUUGAAGUGGUCAUCAGGACCCUGCCCAAGCGGACCGAGGUGAAGCGUGGCAGUCCACUUUGUCACGAGGAGUGGGCCAUGGCACACGAUCCGGAUGGACGCAUCCUCAAUGAGGGCACCCUCAGGGAGCGCAUCUUUCGGGGGGGCAUUGCUGCUGAUCUGAGGAGGGAGGUGUGGCCCUUCCUGCUGGGAUACUACUCCUUUGACUCGACCUACAAGGAACGAGAGGCCCUCCGGAAGAAACUCAAGGACUACUAUUACCGAAUGAAGCUUCAAUGGAAGUCCAUCAGCGAUGACCAGGAGUCGCGAUUUGCCGACUUCAGGGAAAGGAAGAACCUCGUUGAGAAAGAUGUGAGCCGGACUGACCGGACGCAUGUUUUCUACCAGGGUGAGAACAACGCCAAGAUCGAGAUGCUCAACGAUAUCCUCAUGACCUAUGUCAUGUACAACUUUGACUUGGGCUACGUCCAGGGCAUGAGUGAUUUGCUGUCACCUAUCCUGCUGGUAAUGGACAAUGAGGAGGACGCCUUCUGGUGUUUUGUGGGCUUCAUCAAGCGAGUGAUGUCCAACUUUGAUAUUGACCAGAGUGGCAUGAAGAAGCAGUUGGCGCAGCUCUAUGACAUCCUUGCCGUAGCUGUUCCCAAGCUGGCCAUUUACCUUGAGGAGCACGAGUCUGGCAACCUGUACUUCUGCUUCCGCUGGCUCCUGGUUCUCUUCAAGCGCGAGUUCAAGUGUGAGGAGAUCAUGAGGCUGUGGGAGGUGCUGUGGACAGACCUGCCCUGCAAGAACUUCCACCUGCUUCUCUGCGUGGCCAUCCUGGACCAUGAGAAGGACCUGCUCAUCGAGAAUAACUACGGGCUCAAUGAGAUCCUGAAGCACGUCAACGACAUGUGCUACCGGAUAGACCUGGAGCUGAUCCUUUCCACGGCUGAAGCGAUUGUAGAGCAGCUCAAGGGGUCCACAAAGCUUCCCGAAUCGGUUCAAGAGGCGCUGGGCAUAUACAUUGCCAAUGGUGCUUCGCCCACCGACACUAGUGGCGGUGCCGCCAAUGGCGACGCCAACCUUCCUGGCGAAAAGGAUGCGCCAACGUCUCCGGCGAGCCUGCACGGGGGGCAGCGGACGUGCAGCACCAGUUCGGUGGAGGUGCUCUCGGAUGGCGACGUAGAGGCGAGGUACGAGCGCCACCUGCAGUUCUCCCUUUGAGCUACCACUUUCGGAGCGUAACGGGACUAGCGCCCCAGCUGGGCUGGGGGGAGGCUUUCGAAUCUCCUAGCCAAGAGCUCUCCACGAAGACAUCUCAGUAGCCAGGAGUGCAUCCAAUCGUACGACAGCGACGUAUUUGUUUUUGUACAGCGCGCUGAGUGUGCCAGGAAUAGUUUGUGAUAUUGUACUCAAAAACAUAUGUUUUGGUCCAGGAUGUGCGUUGUGGACACUGUGUAGUUUCUGGCCUGUGCGAACCAUCAGUACUGUUCGCCUUCUUUGGCGAGUACUUAGUGUGCAGGCUUCAAGUAAUCAUGUUUGUUUAGUUCACAUGAAGCCAUCUCCAGAGUUAUGCUUGGACCUCAACUUAUGGAACUUUUAGUAAGCCACAAAGUUAUUUCUAAAUCAGCAAUUUUGUUACACAUUCAUGCAAAAAAAGAGAAAAAGAAUUCGUUAGCUGAGUUUUUGGAGUGAGAAUAGUAUGUUGGUCUAUUAAACAAUCAAAUUUGUUAAUGUG
rnacentral:misc_RNA from 1 species